GGAUUUUUGGCUUUGGCAUAGCUGGGACUUCUGGCUUUGGAAGUUCUGGGACUUUUGGCUUUGGUAGUUCUGGGAUUUCAGGCUUUGGCAUAGCUGGGAUAUCGGGCUUUGGUAAAGUUAGAACUUCAGGCUUUUUCACCGGAGGAACGUCAGUCUUUGGUGUUCCUGGAAUUUCUUGCUUUUUCAAGGGAGGAAACUCAGAUUUUGGUAUUGCUGGUAUCUCCGGCUUUGGUACUACUGGAAUCUCGGGCUUCGGCACUACUGGAAUCUCAGGCUUUGGCAUAGCAGGAAUCUCGGGUUUUGGAAUAGCUGGGAUCUCAGGCUUUGGUAAAAUCGGUAAUUCGGGCUUUGGCAUAGUUGGGAUCUCAGGCUUUUUCACCGUUGGAGGAACCUCUGUCUUUGGCACUGCUGGGACUUCUGGCUUUUUCAAGGAAGGAAACUCAGGUUUUGGCAUUGUUGGAAUCUCAGGCUUUGGCAUAGCAGGAAGCUUGGGUUUCGGCACAGCUGGGAUCUCAGGUUUUGGAACAACUGGCAUCUUAGGCUUUGGCAAAGUUGGUAACUCAGGCGUAGGAACAAUUGGUAUUUCAGGUUUUGGCAUGCUAGGAAUCUCAGGCUUCGGUAUGGUUGGAAGCUCAGACUUCGGCACAGCUGGGACUUUCGGGAGUUCUGGUUUUGGAAUCUCAGGGAGGGGUGUCUCUAGGAGGUGGCGUGCAGUCGCACCAGUUAUGUUGCCAUAAAUGAAGACUAAAUUGAGAAAUGCAAGUAUUAAGAGGGAGGAUACAUGGUAAUGCUGAGCCAUUUUUCUUCAGAACUUAGAAGCUAAAACAAAGUAUGAUGUGUAUAAGAGUCGAUGUGAUUCGGAUGUGGCAUUGGCAUUAAGUCUGUUACUUUAUAUAGGUUUUAAGAAUGCAUGCAAGGAGGACUUUCUUGAUUUUGUUUGUUACGCAAGGGCAUGAGUAGUUGAAUUUCUCAUCAACUCGGGUUCUAGUUGGUUCCUCAAAAGUCAAUCUGGAUUACCUAAUUACAUAAUAGUUUAAACCUAUCACAAGCAUAGAGGUUAUGCUGGCAACCUGAUAUUAUUAAACUGAUUUCAUUUAUUUGAAAAGAGAAAAAGUAUUUCACUUUUUACAUCAAAUCUACUGGACAACACUGCCAAAAACUACCAAAUGUCCUAACAGAAACGUGAUUACUUUAUCUUUCGAACUUUAGGAUUAAUGCUUUACUGGUUCACAUCACCAUUAGAGGAAAUGGGUGACAAGAAGUGGGUAUAAUGGAAUAAUCACCUUAUUAUUAGCAUAUUACCCAUUAUGGUCAUCUCUAAACUAGCUAUAAGAAUUAUAAUGCAAAAUAACUUCCUCUCUCGAUCUACCUUUGUUUUGUCUUUGUUAUUUUCUCUAAAAAUUAAAACAGAAGCAGCUUAAUGUCUAUCGAAUCAACGCAGACAAUUGGCUUUGGCUGAGUUUACAGAAACAUAUGGCUAUAAAAUGAUAGAACUGACAAAUUCAAGAACUUAAAAAGGCGAUGCCCGGUAGGAUUGAUCUGACGUUCUACCUUUUUUAAGGAAAAACCAAAUCAGCGAAUGACAUCAACUUCUAUGUACGAAAGGGAUAAUAAAUAACUGCGAACCUACUUGUAUUCAAUUAUUUCACCACAUGUUAAACCUUAUAGUUGAAAACUAUUCAAUAAAAUUACUUGGGACUUGGUGUAUAUUGCUUUCUCGACGAUGAAGUUGAUUAAGAUUGAUUUGUGACAAAUGAAUGAUGAGUUUCUGAGUGGUUGUUAUUAGGUGCUUUUACCUUUAUACAGAAAAAUAUGUAUUUAGUACUAUUUCUAAUGAGACCAAUAUGAUUAAAAAAAUAAUCCAUUUGAAAAAUAAAAACUCAUGGAUGGAUGACAUAAAUGACAUUUGAAAUUAAUUUUCAAAGGUCAAAUUUUUUAACUCUGCUCUUUGUUUCCUUCUCAUUGUUUCAGUUCUAUUGGGAAUUAAUCAAGUGGAUGCACAAAAGAGAUGUACUGAAAUUCAGAAUCCAAAGGGAUGUGUUCUUUCUGGGAAUGGACUUUGCUCAAGUGGUGGUACUACUGGCCAAUUUGUUUGCACCUGUGUUAUUAUUGUAGUCUUGAUGAUCUUCACUCCACUUAAUUUAUUAACUUUGACAUAAUUUUGAAAGUUGUUCUUUAUUUAUGGAGUAAUUAAAAGGAUAUUUCAUCCGAAAAAAAAAAAAAAAAAGCCUCGUGGGUGAGAAUUAUAAAGUAAUAUUUUUAAUAUGUUGUUAGAAUAUUUAUUUUUUGUCUACUCUUCAAAUAUGACACUGCUUACUAAAAAUCUUGAGUACACCACUGAUUGCAUAUAGCUUCAGAAUACUGAAAUUCCAGGUUUGGUAUAGUUAAUACUUCAGGUCACAGGUUCAAGCCUUGGAAAUAGACUCGGGCAGAGAUGCAAGUUAAGGCUGCAUACAAUACACUCUUGUGGUGGUGCCCUUUCCCGAAUCAUGCACAUAGAGGGAGCUUUUGUGCACCGGGCUGCCCUUUUUCUGGUUUAGGAAUCUCAGGAAUGUAGCUGCACCAGCUAACUGGUCAUGCAUAAAGCAUAAGUUGUUCUUAUCUUUCUUUUGGAUCAGACGAAUAGUGGUAAGCUGAAUCCAUUUAAUGUGCAUUAGGAUGAAUGAAACAAAAAGUAAAAUUAGUUAAAUCAUCAGUUUGGUUCGACCAUAAAAAUGUGAAGUCCACUCUAUCCUGUGGGACUUAAUUAUACUAAUUCAUCCAUUAUUGCACUCUUGAAAUGUGAUGGAAGUCAGUUACUAUAAAUUAGGAAAGAAAAACGGUGAGGGAAAGAAUGGACAAACAACGAUUGAGCAAAUCAAGAGAUGACCAAUAAUAAGAAUUAAACCAGAGUAACAAAGAUCAAAGCUUUAUUACACAAUACAUAUAAAAAGUACAUAAAAAUAACUCACAUAGUACAAUGAAAUAUCAAACAUGGUACACCCAAUUCAAAUACUACUGUAAAAGAAUUGCAAUUUCUACUCCUAGCAGAAAGUAUCCAAUACUUUCUCCAAUGUCAUGGCUCAGGUCACAAACUUCAAAGACUAGGAUGGAAUGGAAAAACAUCAGUUGGGUACUUUCUGAUAGAAUGAAAGUAGCAUAUAAUUUACUCAAGGAGUAGCGGGUUUGUGUGGUGGAGAAACUGAAGGAAGAGUUGGUUUAGGCAGUUCUGGAAUUUCAGGCUUCGGCAUAGUUGGGACUUUUGGCUUUGGUAGUUCUGGGAUUUCAAGCUUUGGCGUAGAUGGUACUUCAGGCUUUGGAAGUUCGGGGACUUUUGGCUUUGGUAGUUCUGGGAUUUUAGGCUUUGGCACAGCUGGGACUUCUGGCUUUGAAAGUUCUGGGACUUUUGGUUUUGGUAGUUCUGGGAUUUCAGGCUUUGGCACAGCUGGGAUCUCAGGCUUUGGCACACUUGGUUGCUCGGGCUUUGGUAAAGUUGGAACUUCAGGCUUUUUCACCGGAGGAACCUCAAUCUUUGGUGUUGCUGGGAUUUCUUGCUUUUUCAAGGGUGGAAAC
rnacentral:lncRNA from 1 species